GCUUUCGUAACAUAGUGGCAGUGCGUUUGCUUCGUAAGCGAAAGGUCGUGAGUUUGAUUCUCACUGGGAGCU
rnacentral:tRNA from 1 species